AUACGGAGGGUGCGAGCGUUAAUCGGAAUUACUGGGCGUAAAGCGCGCGUAGGCGGCUAAGUAAGUCGGAUGUGAAAGCCCUGGGCUCAACCUGGGAAUUGCAUUCGAUACUGCAUGGCUAGAGUAUGGUAGAGGGUAGUGGAAUUUCCGGUGUAGCGGUGAAAUGCGUAGAUAUCGGAAGGAACACCAGUGGCGAAGGCGACUUCCUGGGCCAAUACUGACGCUGAGGUGCGAAAGCGUGGGGAGCAAACAGGAGUAGAAACCCUGGUAGUCC
rnacentral:rRNA from 1 species